rnacentral:rRNA from 1 species
UGCAACUCGACUCCUUGAAGUUGGAGUCGCUAGUAAUCGCAAAUCAGCAAAGUUGCGGUGAACACGUUCUCGGGGUUU